rnacentral:rRNA from 1 species
UAAUACGAAGGGUGCAAGCGUUACUCGGAAUUACUGGGCGUAAAGCGUGCGUAGGUGGUUUGUUAAGUCUGAUGUGAAAGCCCUGGGCUCAACCAUAUAGACUGUAUUGCAUACUGGCAUGCUAGAGGAUGGCAGAGGCAAGUGGAAUUGGUAGUGUAGCAGUGAAAUGCGUAGAUAUUACCAGGAACACCAAUGGCGAAGGCAGCUUGCUGGGCCAUUUCUGACGCUGAGACACGAAAGCGUGGGGAGCGAAC